rnacentral:rRNA from 3 species
CGUUGAUAGGUCGGGUGUGUAAGCGUAGCGAUACGUUGAGCUAACCGAUACUAAUGAACCGUGAGGCUUAACCUU